rnacentral:rRNA from 1 species
UACGAAGGGUGCAAGCGUUAAUCGGAAUUACUGGGCGUAAAGGGUGCGUAGGCGGGUCUUUAAGUCAGAGGUGAAAUCCUGGAGCUCAACUCCAGAACUGCCUUUGAUACUGAGGAUCUUGAGUUCGGGAGAGGUGAGUGGAACUGCGAGUGUAGAGGUGAAAUUCGUAGAUAUUCGCAAGAACACCAGUGGCGAAGGCGGCUCACUGGACUGGUAUUGACGCUGAGGUGCGAAAGCGUGGGGAGCAAACAGG